rnacentral:misc_RNA from 1 species
UUAAGUUCAGCGGGUAUUCCUACCUGAUCCGAGGUCAACCACAAAAAAUUGGGGGGUUUAGCGGCUGAGAGCUGCAGCACCUGACAAAAGCGAGAUAAAGAUUUACUACGCUCAGAGGAUACCACAGAUCCGCCGUUGGAUUUAAGGAACUAUCCUUGCGGAUAGACUCCCAAUACUAAGCUAGGCUUAAGGGUUGAAAU